rnacentral:rRNA from 1 species
CCUACGGGAGGCAGCAGUGAGGAAUAUUGGUCAAUGGACGAGAGUCUGAACCAGCCAAGUAGCGUGAAGGAUGACUGCCCUAUGGGUUGUAAACUUCUUUUAUCAAGUACUAAAACGAGCCACUUGUGCCUUUUUGCAUGUCCUUUCUGAUUAAGGUUCGGCUACCUCCGUGCCAGCAGCGGCGUUAAUACGGAGGAUCCGAGCGUUAUCCGGAUUUAUUGGGUUUAAAGGGAGCGUAGAUGGGUUUUAAGUCAGUUGUGAAAGUUUGCGGCUAAACCGUAAAAUUGCAAUUGAUACUGGCAGUCUUGAGUACAGUUGAGGUAGGCGGAAUUCGUGGUGUAGCGGUGAAAUGCUUAGAUAUCACGAAGAACCCCGAUUGCGAAGGCAGCUUACUAAACUGUGACUGACAUUGAUGCUCGAAAGUGUGGGUAUCAAACAGGAUUAGAUACCCCAGUAGUC